UAACACAAUGCAUGAGUUAUUUUAACACAAAAUUUAGAGUGGACUUUCUGGGACAUUAAAUUUUUUACUGUGUAAAUUGCAUGGUUACUUGGUAGAGAAGACUCGACAGUCAGGACUUCCGAGGUAGAGGAUAAAAAAUUCAUAAGGAAUCUACCGAUUCCUUCAAGUUCAUCCUCCUUCGCGGAAAAGAACCGCGAUCUACAAAGUUCCUAUUUCAUAAGCUAAACGGCGAGAUUCCGCGAUCGGACGACGGAUUUCCCGAAUGGGGAGCGCGUCUUUGGUUUUUGCGCAGGACGGACGAGAAGCUCGCCGUUCAACGAGGCCGAAUGGGUUUUCGGAUUCUGCAUGGUGGACGCGUGCGUGAAGAGACGGGGACUUUAACAAUGUGUGUUCAAAGCGACCUGGAGGGCUUGCGAUUUCGUAUCUUCCGGGCACCCGGACGCGAUCGGCGGAACCGUCUCGACACUGGGUUUCUCUUGGACCCGCAACGACGCUCUCGUCAUCGUGUAAAGAACCAGGAAACUUUUCUCGCCGACACGCAUCGAGACGAAAAUAACGCGAAUAAUCGCGACACUGUAAAUCACGUUAAUGAGUCGCGCGCCGUUCCGUAAUGAGUCACAGGUGACACUCGCCAACGAUUUAAUAACGACUUCGCCUCCCAAAGUGCCGCUAACAGGAGAGGCACGUGGUUCAUUACCCAAAUUGGUGAAUCGCAUCUAAAACGAUCAUUUUGAAGAACUACGAUGCACGUAUUAUUCCUUUAUAUCCUGAAAAAUUACGGUUAAAAUAUUGUAAUACCUCAGGACAAAAACAUUUUUUUCGCGCCCUCUGGUACCUUUAUUUUUACUGGAAGAAAUGGCGCUUGCAGGGCAAAGAAAGACGUUCCCUGGUACUAUGCAUCUUUUGUCAGGGGCAUUUUUGGGCGGCGACAGAAUACCUGUUUGAUUUACUUCGAGCUCGGAUCAACCAGCGUCAUUUCGCGGCUUGGAAAUAGGAGGACAGAUGUUCCAUAUUUUACCACACGACACUUCCUUCCGCUUUCACGCCUGCGGGAUGAUUUUCUCGGUUGUUCCCGCGUCCCCCGGGAUAUCGGAUUAUGUACAAAACGUAAACGACAAUUACACUGUACGGCCGGUCGACGCAAAAAUUGCGCGUUAUCAUCCGCAAUUUUGCAGAGGGAGAGGGAGACGACGAAGGGAUGUAAAAAAAAAAAAAAAAAAAUCGCGACCGCGAUCGCGUGAGAGCGUGCUUAAUUCGGAUAUACACAUAUAUGUACGGUAUAACGGCGACUGGUCCAGCUGAUCGUAACAUCCUCAACACACCGACGAGUAAACCGAGUCUAGCAUCUCUCCGGCAGUUUUUUAUGAGACCUUUCCACGCAAAGAGCUUCAUGGCAUCGCGUCAGAUCUGUACUGUAACUUCUCGGCGCAUUUCUCUUUGUUUGUUUAUAAGCGUGUACAUUCUUUGUAAUUGUAAAUGAAAAAAGACAUUUCAUUGUUAAA